UGGGCUGCACAUGCGCAUUUUGUAUGCUGGGCCCCCGGAUGUUGUGGGAAGCAGUGAAAUGUUGGAGAGCCCCGAAGCAGAGAGGCCCUGGGCCAGCAGGAGGGACCCGGGCAGGACAUAACGGAGAAGCUGCUGGGGGUGUCUGGUCCUCCAACCGCACGAGCUGCCCUGGUACCAGAGGCCACCAGGGCUGCUGAGAUGUCGAUGCACAGAUCACUUUCAAAAUAUGUCGGGGUGGCAAUAAUGGUGGCACUGGGGCUGUGUGCAGUGGUGCUGAUGGGGUGAUACAAUACCAAGUUUGGGGACCAGUCCUACCCAAACAACAUCCAGCGGACCGUGACAGUACCUCCUUGGAUGAACGACCUCCUGGCACCUUCCUCUAAUCCUUCUUCCAGCUUCUCCAAGGCUGUGGUUACAUCUCCAGUUUCUCCCACAAAGACCAGCCCCGCAGGGGUCAUCUUCAGCCCUACCCUCCUCAAUGGCCCUACAUGUGUCAGCUUCUGCAAACAACAAGGUCGACAGCUGAUCAGCUGUGACAUGGCAAAGGUACAGGCAGGGCAUUACAGCAACACAUGGGUCCUACCCUCCUUGACUGCGAAUGAGCCUGGGCAAUACUUCUAUGUGGAGGAUGGGAUCUGCAAACCGAGCGGUGGUAGCGUCAUCAGAGGCUGCCCUUGCACUGAGCGCCAGGCAGCUGGAAGGCAGCAGGUCUGAUCUGCUCGGACCUCCUUCCACAGCCUGUCUGAUGCAUUCCAUUUCUAUGGAAGACUGGGGUCGGGGGUGACUUAUUUCUAAACUUUUUAAAGCUUACUUUGGAAACCUUUUCUCCUGCCAGGCUGUAGCACAAAGAAGCCAUCUGCCUCAAACCUUUCCAUCUUGUGCAACAAUUGACAGUGAAUAUCGAUUUCCCUUCUCUCUCGCGCGCACACUGCGCAGUAGCCUGAUACCACUACAUAGUAGGGUGCCGGUUAAAAACUGCUAAUCUGCUACUGCACAGUGUUAUUACACUACUGUGCGGGAGGCAUCACAAAGAAACCAUGUGCUGGCACUACUGUAGUUACUGUGCAUUUAGUUUAGUACUUCAUUAAGCAAGUACUAAACUGUAACUACUGUGCAUUAAUGAACAUGUAGAUGCGCCAGAGUGCCUUAACAACCUUUGCAACAGCAGCAGGACAUUAGGUGCUGUGGCCCCGCUGCUUUCCCUGUGGUAGGAUCAGGUGCAAUAUCUCAGGCUGUCAGGGGAAACUGUGUCAUGUUACACAGGGUUUGUCUGGGCUGGUUUGCACACACCUGAAAGUGCUUCAGGCAGUGGGUUCGACUGAAUGUGACUGGAGGUCCCAUCUAGCUCCAUUCCACUACAAUUUCUGUGAACACUACAACAAUCCCUCUCCCUGUCUAACUCUACCCAAGGAACUGUCCAUUCUUUUCUCUUCUUUUUUAAACUAGACUUGUCUUUUAUACUCUAGAACAGGAUUUUCACGGCCCCUCUUGAGCAAGUUUAUCUGAUGUACCCACAAUGUUUACAUCUCUUCCAGGAUGUCAAACUGAACAUGCCAAAGCUCGGUGCUUCUUCUGCUAACUUGAAACAAAAGGGAAAAACCUAAGUGCCACACUUUCCUAGCAAUACAUUUUCUAUCAACAUAUUUUUAACUUUUAUGACAAAACUUUGGCAAUAAUGUAGAUUUUUUUAUGUAGAAGGAAAGAAUGUCAUUAUUUUAUGGACUGCACUAAACGUUUGUGGUACUGGAAAAGGGAACCGUCACUGGAACAUGUAACAGCUGAUGAAUGUAAGGGGAUUGUGCUCAGGUUUUAGUUACUUUUCAAUUA